rnacentral:sRNA from 1 species
AUUCUUCUUGAAGACCAGCCAUGGCCAGUUCCUGUUUUACUUCUGACUGUGUAGUGUUGAAUAAGACAGACCUGUUUCCUCUCAAGAGGCCACAGCUGGUAGGAGAGGCUGAAGUCACAAAGACACGUCCAGCAGGGACCACCUCACCUGCAGAUUAGACCCCCAAGCCAAGACCUGAAGGAUGGGACUCAGCAGGAGGCCACAAAAAGGGAAGAAGCCCCUGUGGAUCCCCGCCCGGAAGGAGAUCUGCAAAGGACAGUCAUCAGCUGGAGGGGAGCGGUGAUCGAGCCUGAGCAGGGCACCAAGCUCCCUUCAAGAAGAGCAGAAGUGCCCACCAAGCCUCCCCUGCCACCGGCCAGGACACAGGGCACACCAGCGCAUCCAAACUAUCGCCAGAAGGGCGUGAUUGACGUCUUCCUGCACGCAUGGAAAGGGUACCGCAAGUUUGCAUGGGGCCAUGACGAGCUGAAGCCUGUGUCCAGGUCCUUCAGCGAGUGGUUUGGCCUUGGUCUCACGCUGAUCGACGCGCUGGACACCAUGUGGAUCUUGGGUCUGAGGAAAGAAUUUGAGGAAGCCAGGAAGUGGGUGUCGAAGAAGUUACACUUUGAAAAGGACGUGGACGUCAACCUGUUUGAGAGCACGAUCCGCAUCCUGGGGGGGCUCCUGAGUGCGUACCACCUGUCUGGGGACAGCCUCUUCCUGAGGAAAGCUGAGGAUUUUGGAAAUCGGCUAAUGCCUGCCUUCAGAACACCGUCCAAGAUUCCUUACUCGGAUGUGAACAUCGGCACUGGAGUUGCCCACCCACCACGGUGGACCUCCGACAGCACUGUGGCCGAGGUGACCAGCAUUCAGCUGGAGUUCCGGGAGCUCUCCCGUCUCACCGGGGAUAAGAAGUUUCAGGAGGCCGUGGAGAAGGUGACGCAGCACAUACAUGGCCUGUCUGGGAAGAAGGAUGGGCUGGUGCCCAUGUUCAUCAAUACCCACAGCGGCCUCUUCACCCACCUGGGCGUGUUCACACUGGGCGCCAGGGCCGACAGCUACUAUGAGUACCUGCUGAAGCAGUGGAUCCAGGGCGGGAAGCAGGAGACACAGCUGCUGGAAGACUACCUGGAAGCCAUCGAGGGUGUCAAAACGCACCUGCUGCGGCACUCCGAGCCCAGUAAGCUCACCUUCGUGGGGGAGCUUGCCCACGGCCGCUUCAGUGCCAAGAUGGACCACCUGGUGUGCUUCCUGCCAGGGACGCUGGCUCUGGGCGUCUACCACGGCCUGCCCGCCAGCCACAUGGAGCUGGCCCAGGAGCUCAUGGAGACUUGUUACCAGAUGAACCGGCAGAUGGAGACGGGGCUGAGUCCCGAGAUCGUGCACUUCAACCUUUACCCCCAGCCGGGCCGUCGGGACGUGGAGGUCAAGCCGGCAGACAGGCACAACCUGCUGCGGCCAGAGACCGUGGAGAGCCUGUUCUACCUGUACCGUGUCACAGGGGACCGCAAGUACCAGGACUGGGGCUGGGAGAUUCUGCAGAGCUUCAGCCGGUUCACGCGGGUCCCCUCGGGUGGCUAUUCUUCCAUCAACAAUGUCCAGGAUCCUCAGAAGCCCGAGCCCAGGGACAAGAUGGAGAGCUUCUUCCUGGGGGAGACGCUCAAGUAUCUGUUCUUGCUCUUCUCUGACGACCGUAACCUACUCAGCCUGGACGCCUACGUGUUCAACACUGAAGCCCACCCUCUGCCUAUCUGGACCCCUGCCUAGGGGGGACGGCUGCUGCUGUGGGGACUUCGGGUGGGCAGAGGCGCCUGGCUGGGUCUGUGGCAUUUUCCAAGGGCCCACGUAGCGCCGGCAACCGCCGAGUGGCCCGGGCUCUGAACUGGCUCUGGGCUCCUCCUUGUCUCUGCUUUAAUCAGGACACCGUGAGGCCAAGUGAGGCCGUCAGUCUGUGUGUGAUGCGGUGUGGGCUGGGCCACUGGAGCCUCCGCCUGCUUCCUCCAGAAAACACGAAUCAUGACUCACGAUCGCUGAAGCCUGAGCAGGUCUCUGUGGGCCGACCGGAGGGGCUUCGAGUGGCCCCUGGCACUGUGGUGACCGAGUGGACAGCCCAGGGUGCAGCUCUGCCCAGGCUCGUGAAGCCUCAGAUGUCCCCAAUCCAAGGGUCUGGAGGGGCUGCCGUGACUCCACAGGCCCGAGGCUCCAGGGCUGGCUCUGGUGUUUACUAGCUGGACUCAGGGAUCCUCCUGGCCACCCCGCAGGGGGCUUGGAGGGCUGGACGGCAAGUCUGUCUGGCUCACGGGCCCCUCCAGUGGAAUGGGUCCUUUCGGUGGAGAUAAAAGUUGAUUUGCUCU